CAUUUCAAUCAAGAUUGCAUAAUGGAAGGUAUCAAACAACAUAACACAUCCUAUGUUAUUAUAUGCAUUCACAUUCAUACAUUUUUACAUCACAAAUCUCAUUAGAUUCUUACAUUAGCUUUCACUUAACUUCCAAAUACAAUCCGAUUUAACAUGCUUAUUACAACUUGAUUCUUUUCAUUCUUUACAUCCCUAAGUAACCGACUCGGGGUACCGCUAUCUCUGGUCUCGGUGGUA
rnacentral:lncRNA from 1 species